GACGAACCGUGCGAACGUUAUUCGGAAUCAUUGGGCUUAAAGAGCACGUAGGCGGCGCCGUAAGUCGGAGGUGAAAUCCCAGGGCUCAACCGUGGAACCGCCUCCGAAACUGUGGUGCUUGAGGGAGAUAGGGGCCUGUGGAACUUCCGGUGGAACGGUGAAAUGUGUUGAGAUCGGAAGGAACGCCAGUGGCGAAAGCGACAGGCUGGAUCUUCUCUGACGCUGAGGUGCGAAAGCUAGGGUAGCGAACGGG
rnacentral:misc_RNA from 1 species